UACGUAGGGGGCUAGCGUUGUCCGGAAUCAUUGGGCGUAAAGAGCGUGUAGGCGGUCCGGUAAGUCCGUUGUGAAAGUCAGGGGCUCAACCCUUGAAUGCCGGCGGAUACUGUCGGGCUAGAGUCCGGAAGAGGCAAGUGGAAUUCCCGGUGUAGCGGUGAAAUGCGCAGAUAUCAGGAGGAACACCAGUGGCGAAGGCGGUGCUCUGGGCCGGAACUGACGCUGAGGAGCGAAAGCGUGGGGAGCGAACAGG
rnacentral:rRNA from 1 species